CUGCUGAGUGAAGGAGGUGGAGGCUCCAGGAGGGGCCCUUCAGCAGGGGCCCCUCAGCAGGUCUCACAGGGGGCUCAGUGAGGAGCUUUGGUAGUGUUCAGGGAAACAGAAGACAGGGAAUAAGAUGUUGAAGAUUCACUGUUGGGGCUGUGCCUAGAGUGGGGCCCUCGCUGCAGAAGCCCUUCAGUCAGUACCUGGAGGCCCAGAGGAACAAGCUGCACCACGCCGGAGGGAGCGCACCAGCGGAUGAGAACUGGCUGUCGUGGGUGUUUGAGAAGGUGGUGCUCGUCAUGGUCUGCUACUUCGUCUCCUCCAUCAUUAACUCCACGGCUCAGAGCUACGCCAAGCGGCUGCAGCAGCAGAGGCAUUCAGAGGAGAAGACCAAGUGAUGACGAGUCAACAACAACAACAACAACAACAGAAGGAGCGCUGCAAACAUCCAAGUGACAGUGUUUGUUUCUGCUGCUGCCUCCCCUCGACCACAGCCACUCACAACUUAACAACAAACCUCACCCCCCCCCUCCCCCAUCCAUUCUCAGAGGCUGACCACUGAAAAACAAGCACUAUGUGUCGGUUUGUGUGAGUGUGUAUGUGUGUUGGUGUGCGCUUUUGAGGAUGUCCCUCUUCAGGUUUUGUAGUUCUUCCUCUCAUCUCACUCUAGGUUUGUCUUGUAGGUGGUCUGGUGUUACUUUGAAUUAACCCUUUGUUGACCUCAGCAGUAAAGCAGCAACGGUUGGGUGGGGGCUGUGUGUGUGCAGCGCCCAUCAGAUGCCUUAUGCAAGACGGGAGCGCCUGACUUCCCUUUGAAUAUAGUUAUUUACUCAUUAACUUGAUUUUUAUUUAAUUUUUGUAACAUUUACUUUAUUCAGCGUUAAAUUAUCCUCAUGUUUCUGUCCGGUUUAAAAAAAUUUAAAAAAAGUGAGACCAAUUUCUCUUUUAAAAUGUUGGAGGGAAAAAAUAGCAAUAUCAACUUAAAGCAGUGUGGUGUUGAUGGUUUGCACAUUGUGUAAAUAUCUUAAUAUCUUUUUUUGACGGUAUGCGCAGAUGUAUUUCUAUUCUGAUGGUCUGUGUGGAAAACAAAAAAGAAGUGAUAUCAUUUGUAAAAGUGACAUUGUACUCUGAGCUAACUAGUCCCAUUUCUAUUCUGUACAUUUAGGUUGAUUCAGAUCAUAUAUAAAACGUGUAAAUCAUU